ACGGGGGGGACAAGCGUUGUUCGGAUUUACUGGGCGUAAAGGGCGCGUAGGCGGGCCUUCAAGUCGGGUGUGAAAUCUGGUGGCUUAACCACCAGUCUGCAUUCGAUACUGUUGGUCUUGAGUACGGGAGAGGAGAAUGGAAUUUCAGGUGUAGCGGUGAAAUGCGUAGAUAUCUGAAAGAACACCAGUAGCGAAGGCGGUUCUCUGGACCGAUACUGACGCUGAAGCGCGAAGGCUUGGGGAGCAAACAGGAUUAGAUACCCUGGUAGUCCAAGCGGUAAACUAUGGGUACUAGGUGUCGGAGGUAUCGACCCCUCCGGUGCCGCAGCUAACGCAAUAAGUACCCCGCCUGGGGAGUACGAUCGCAAGAUUG
rnacentral:rRNA from 1 species